UAGUAGCGUAUAUUAAUGUUGUUGCAGUUAAAAAGCUCGUAGUUGAAACUUGAAUAUUGCAAUUAGUUUGGUUUUCUAGAUUUCUAGUAUAACUACUAAUUCAUAUUCUUCCUACUAGUAACUCGAUUCGGUUCUUAAUUGAAUGGGAUAGCAUUCUUUCGGGAGUGUCGAUCUUUAUAAAUAUCUCUACCAUCUAUGUGGAUACGUAUAAAAGCGUUGAAAUGUAAUGAGUAGAUCAAGAUAAUUGUUUAAAUUGGAGUUCUAGUUCAUUUACUUUGAGAAAAUUAGAGUGUUUAAAGCAGCCUCUUGGGGCUCUGAAUACAUUAGCAUGGGAUAAUAGAAUAGGAUUUCAAUCAUAUCUUUGUUGGUUUGAAUGGAUGAAAUAAUGAUUAAGAGGAACAGUUGGGGGUAGUUUAUAUUGGAUGGGGAGCGGUGAAAUGCGUGGAUCCAUUCAAGAUAAACUAAAGACGAAA
rnacentral:rRNA from 1 species